rnacentral:rRNA from 1 species
AGUGAACGCUGGCGGUAGGCCUAACACAUGCAAGUCGAACGGCAGCACAGUAAGAGCUUGCUCUUACGGGUGGCGAGUGGCGGACGGGUGAGGAAUACAUCGGAAUCUACUUUUUCGUGGGGGAUAACGUAGGGAAACUUACGCUAAUACCGCAUACGACCUACGGGUGAAAGCAGGGGAUCUUCGGACCUUGCCCGAUUGAAUGAGCCGAUGUCGGAUUAGCUAGUUGGCGGGGUAAAGGCCCACCAAGGCGACGAUCCGUAGCUGGUCUGAGAGGAUGAUCAGCCACACUGGAACUGAGACACGGUCCAGACGCCUACGGGAGGCAGCAGUGGGGAAUAUUGGACAAUGGGCGCAAGCCUGAUCCAGCCAUACCGCGUGGGUGAAGAAGGCCUUCGGGUUGUAAAGCCCUUUUGUUGGGAAAGAAAAGCAGCAGGUUAAUACCCCGCUGUUCUGACGGUACCCAAAGAAUAAGCACCGGCUAACUUCGU